CUUGGUUCGUAAAGGUCAGUCCGCCUACUCGGUGUGCACCUGCCCUUCCAUCCCUUUUGCGGGCGGCAUGCUCCUGGCCUUAAUUGGAUGGGUCGCGGUUCCAGUGUUAUUACUUUGAAUAAAUUAGGGUGCUCAAAGCAAGCUUAUGUUCUGAAUACAUUAGCAUGGAAUAACGCGAUAGGAGUCUGGUCCUAUUGUGUUGGCCUUUGGGACCAGAGUAAUGAUUAAUAGGGACUGUCGGGGGCAUUCAUAUUUCAUUGUCAGAGCUGAAAUUCUUGGAUUUAUGAAAGACGAACCACUGCGAAAGAUUUUGCCAAGGAUGUUUUCAUUAAUCAAGAACGAAAGUUGGGGUCUCGAAGACGAUCAGAUACCGUCCUAGUCUCAACCAUAAACGAUGCUGACCAGGGAUUGGAGGAUGUUUCUCUAAGGACUCCGCCAUCACCUUCUGAGAAAUCAGAGUGUUUGGGUUCCGGGGGGAGUAUGGUCGCAAGGUUGAAAAUUAAAGGAAUUGACGGAAGGGCACCACCAGGAGUGGAGCCUGCGGCUUAAUUUGACUCAACACAGGAAAACUUACUAGGUCCAGACAUAGUAAGGAUUGACAGAUUGAGAGCUCUUUCUUGAUUCUAUGGGUGGUGGUGCAUGGCCGUUCUUAGUUGGUGGAGAGAUUUGUCUGGUUAAUUCUGAUAAUGAACGAGACCUCAGCCUGCUAACUAGCUACGCAGAGGUUCCCCUUCACGACCAGCUUCUUAGAGGGACUAUGGCCGUUUAGGCCAUGGAAGUUUGAGGCAAUAAUAGGUCUGUGAUGCCCUUAGAUGUUCUGGGCCACACACGCACUACACUGAUGUAGUCAAUGAGUUUUUAUCCUUUGUUCAAGAGGAUCGGGAAAUCUUCUCAAAUUGCAUCGUGAUGGGGAUAGACCAUUGCAAUUAUUGGUCUUCAACAAGGAAUUCCUAGUAAGCACAUGUCAUCAGCUCGUGUUGACUAUGUCCCUGCCCUUUGUACACACCGCCCGUCGCUCCUAUCGAUUGAAUGAUUCAGUGAAGUGUUCAGAUCGCGUCAACGAGGGUGGUUCACCACUGACGAUGUCAUGAGAAGUUCACUGAACCUUAUCAUUUAGAGGAAGGAGAAGUCAUAACAAGGUUACCGUAGGUGAACCUGCGGUAGGAUCAUUG
rfam:Picea glauca, whole genome shotgun sequence.